GAUCUUUAUAUAUUUAAUAUUUUGUAAAUAUUUGGUUAAUUUUUUUUUUUAAAAUUAUUAAUAUAUUAUAUUGGGGUAAUAAUAAAAUUUUUAAAAUUUUUAUUUUUUAUUUACAAAAAUAAUUGAUUUUUUGAUCCAGUAUUAUUGAUUAUAAAAUUAAGUUACCUUAGGGAUAACAGCGUAAUGAUUUUUGAGAGUUCUUAUCAAUAAAAUAGUUUGU
rnacentral:rRNA from 1 species